AAUUGGCUGAAGUAUUUACAGAUUCGUAUUGAGAGUGUGUUUUAAAAAUAUGGAAAAGAUAGCUGAUAGCUCAUGCAUUACCGAUUUCGACGGUGUCAAAUCAACAAUCAUCAUGUACAGACAAUGGUUGCUAAAGAUAAAAGAUGAGAUUCCUAUCAUUAAAGUAUCACUGUUAGUAUAUCAUAUAGUACAAAAAGACACAACGUUUUAACUAAUAUGUCGAAAGACCAUGUCGUAGAGGAAGUCCUUCAGGAUAUCAAAAAGAAAUUGAAUACGAGUCGUGGUCAUACCAUUUAAAUUCAUAGUUUUGGGAACUUUACUGUAAUGGUAAACGGCGAAUUAUGUUAGACCACAAUUACUGCCAUAUAUUUGUCUGUAGUAACGAUAGCUUUAUUAAUGAAAUCUAAAGAUACGACACGCAUUGGAAUGAGGACUUAAAACAGAAAUGACUGAUGUGUUCGAUGAAAUCACAACAAACGAUAAUGCUUCUAGUACGAAGACCGACAGAGUUUGGAACUCUCUUUUGGCAUACAAGCAAAUAUAUUAAGUUCGGCCUGUAGAUUAAAACAAUAAACAUAGAACCUCAA